AAAACAGAAAAGCAAUAACGACUUUUCUCCUUCGACUGUUUUUUCAUUCUUCGAUAUUGUUUCCUCUUCACCAAACCCUAUUUCCUCUUCAUCGAUCGAAUAUGUACUCUGGAUAUUUACCGUGAAUCACCGAAACUGGAGAAAUAUAUCUCUGGAAGAAGGUUUUUCUUAAACAGUUGGAUAUUUACUUCUGCAGUUUCUUCUAUGAUGAAGGAGCACGAGUCAAUACAAUUAACUUACUACAGAAGAUCGGACUAUAAAAAGUGAUGUCCCAAAAAACAGUCUUCGGAGGAGAAUACGAACAGAGAACAUUGAUAGUCGGAGUCUACAAGGUAUAACAGCUUCUUGGAGCUAAAAUGGAGUUAAUAGAUGGUGUGUGGGUCAACGAAAGGAGUGUCAUGAAGAUGCUUUUACAGUGUAUCGUCUCUUUCGCAAUGCAGUGGAGAAGGAAGAAAGGGAUGGGUAUGGAGAAACAUAGAUUAAGGUCAAUCCAUGGAAACCGUAUAAGGAAUCAAGAUGGAGAAACAGAGAGUAUGUGCAAUCCUUAGGUUCUCUUGCCAACGUAAGGGAUUGACAUGGCUGCUUCCUGAGAAGUUUACUGCUUCAGAUAUUGGACCCAAAGCAGUUACUGCUUUCUUGGGCAUAUUCACAACCAUCAAUGAACACAUCAUUCAAAAUGUUCCGACCACCCGUGUGAUACUGGACCAUCCGGGACUGAUUCAUCCCUUUCUUAUCCCCUACUCAUCUCCUGGAGGAUUCUAUGAACAGCAAUGGUACACUAAACUUCUUGAGAUCUUCGGUCCUGGUGUUGUUGACGUAGUGACUCACCAUAUUUACAUUCUUGGUUCAGGGAAUGAUCUACAGCUAGUGAAGAAGAUACUUGGGAACCGUUGUGGACGUGGCUAGUAAACACUGAUAUGGAGAAGAAGGCAAGUGGAGCUAUGACAGAAGCUGUGAAGAUUCUUAUUUUCGCUCCCACUAUUAGCAAAAGCAAGUCUCGAGAAUUCAAGGGUUUCCUUUGUGACAUCGGCUCUCAUGGCGGAAGCGCUAGCCCUGUUGAAAGCAGUGAGGUCGGGAAGAAGAGAAGAAAUGAAGACUGUGGUUUUUGAAUCAGACUCUGCUCAAUUGAUAACAUGUCUGAAGAUGGGAACUUGAUCCCAGAACUGUAUGGAGUGAUUGAAGAUAUCUUAGCUAUUGUGCCCUUUUUCGAUUCUGCCUCUUUCUCUUGGAUUUCUCGUGAACAAAACUCUCUUGCAGAUGGUCUUGCUAAAUCUGCUCUGGUUGUAUCUGAGAACUUGGUGGUUGAUGAAGCCUUUAUGGCCUCCAACUAACUAUUCUAGUUUGAAUUAAUAUAGUAUGUGUUUCAAAAAAAAGAAGAUAGAAUGAAUAUUAGAUAAAUACUCUAGUCAGUGUACUAGAUAAACGAAAUAAUUAAACAUACAGCAGGGUUUUAUAAGAUUGCGAUGCUAACAAAAAUACUCUGAAAUGUAAAGUAUUACUCGAAUCGAUUUCUGCAAUAAUUUCACUCUUAAAUGCAGCGCUGAAACGCGUAGAAACUUAUAUACUCGCAUUAUAUUUCAUGGCAAUAUUUUACAAAUUUACAUUUGUACAGUUGUUUUUUUUUUUUUGUAAACUGCAUACUUAAUUUAAAGAAAAAAAACGAAAAUGUUUACAUAAGCCCACUGGCUUUAGUUUUCUAACAAACACAUACAGAAUCACACAAUCACAUUAGUAAACCCAAGUAGUUAAGCCCAUAACUAAAUCUCUUUCAAUUUGAGAUUUGGAGAGGAAAGGUCACGAAGGGAGGAAAGCGGAGUUGACGAUGGUGAUCAUUCCAAACGAACCCAACUCUGCAUCAUCACUGACGAUCGUGUUGGAUUAGAGUCUCUAAAGCUUUGUAUUUUAUUUUUAAUCUGGCGAUCCAUCAGUUUGAAUAUCCCAUCCACCGAACGUAAGGAGUUUGCAUGUAGUCUGGUGUUUCUUUCAUUCCAAAUCCAAUACACAGUUGCCUGUCAAGCUAAGUAGGAUGAGGAGUCGCUGCGGUAGAGGAACCGAGAUGGAGGACAUCUGAUCCAGCGAGACAACCCAAUCUCUGAAAGAGCAAGCAGCGAGCAUCAACUUGUAUACCCCAAUGGAUGAGUCUGUCUCUAGUCGGAAUUCUGUUCUGAAUCACUAGCCAUAAGUGAAAGCUGUGACUGAGGGAUGGCCCUAGACGUCCAGACAACAGCGUACUAGUCUUUGUACAGUUGUACUCACAUCUAUCACUGAACGCAACCUAAAGAGGUGUAUUUCUUUAAGAUACUUUCGGUGAUCGAUCUUGUAUUAAAA